rnacentral:lncRNA from 1 species
AUGCUCCCCAUCUACCCCAUGUUCUUCUCCUCUUCCUCUCCAGGAUAUCCACUUACUUCCUACUCAUUUCUGCUGCUGGCCUGGAACAGACUGAAACAUCUUUUGGAUCUGGAAUAUCAACAAAACCUUCUCUGCUACCCUGCGCUUUGUGUAUGCCUGCAACUGAUCAUCCUGACCCAAGGGCAGAGGAGGAGAAUCCUAGAACCUGGGGAUGUGUCCUGCCUAUUGCCUACAGACAGGAGGAGCACUGAAUUGAUGUUCAUGAUGGAGAUGCAUAUACCUCUGGAAGGAUGAACCUGGGACCACGCCAGAGGUUCCACCAAGAGCUAAUGAUGGGAAUGGGAUUCAUGCUUCCACAGUACUAGGUCUGGAUGCUGAUGGAUCAUUCCAAAAAAGGGAUUUGAAGAAAACCAGGUCUGAGUUCUGAAUAAAUUUCAGUUCAUUUAGCCAGAAUGCCUAAUAUAGGUGGUUAGGCAGCAGGUAUAUUUUCAUACACUCCUGACCCAGCAUACACCACAUUGAAGACAGUGUUAACAGUGUAAUUCCCUGCCAACAUCAGCCAAGCUAACCUGGGUUGCUGCCACCUUGUCCUCUCUGUGCCUGCCAAUAUAAAGAGCUGGCUUUCUGCCUACCCAACUCCAUUUGCAAGAACCCUUCAGCUCUGACAGAACAAUAUGGGAAGAAAUAUCUAAUCCUUGGCCCAGAAAAAGUCAGGUCAAGUUCUGUAUUUCUGCAGCGCUUUCCACCUUGUUCAUAAAUAGCAGGUCUUGGUGGGUACAGACCUAUAUGGAACACAAAAUCUAUUCCCUUGUCAACAGGUAGUAUAAAAGAGAUAUGUUUAGAUUGAUGUAGCUGUAGCAAACCUUGCAUUAUGCUAUAUGUCUUGCCACACCUGUGCAUGGCUUUUUGACCAGGAGAGCCUUCUUGGUGUCAUCACAGUGGGAUUGUCAUUGCAAUGGCGAUGUCAUGGGAACAAGCAUCAUAAGAGAAGGUAGCAGUAACAUAGUAGGAUUGCUUAUGCUGUCUGAGACCAUGAGCAAGUUAGCAUCUAUGAACUGGUCUUACCUCUUUCUGCACAUACAUAUGGUGCUCACAUCAUAUCAUCUCGUGAAUCCACAAAGUUAUUAAGAUCAUCUGAUGUAGAGAACCUUGUAGAGCCACAGGAGAAAACAAUGCACGGGCGACACAGGUUCCUCAGAUGGGACACAGCUUGCAUGCUAAGACUCAGACACAUAUAUGCUAUCUGAAAUGCCCCACAGUAUCUGAAAAACUGCCAUGUAGCUGUCAGACCUGACACAAGACCUACAGCUAUCCCAUCACAGCAGUUUAGCUCAGCAACUCAAGGGAGCAUACAGCAGAUACUUAUGUUUGAGCCCUAUCUCAAUGUCUAUAUUCAGGGUUCCAUACUGUCCCCAUCACUGUGCUGCCUCAAAACUGAACACUUCUCUUGAUCUUCAACUUCAAAACUGAACAAGCUUGUGCUCUGGAAGUAUAGGUCCCACUGCUGGGGUGUGCAGACUGUACACCAUCUACUUAUAAGAAUGAUUGCAUAUGUCUGCCAAAGACCCACCUUCCUCUUUGCUUUUGCUUUUCUUUAAGCCCUUUUUUGCCUCUGUACGUGGAUCUGCAUGUGCGAAUUUUUCACUGCUGAUGUCACCUUCUUUUCUAAGGACAAAACCAUAUUCAGAGCACUCCUUAGAAGUAUAGUUGCAUUUGUAAUUAACAGAUCACAAAAUGAUGGUUCUUCAUGCCAGGAUUUUCUGAGCUUUUUGCCUGCUUGUAUUACCUGAGCUCCCAUGUCUCAGUCAGACAGGCAAGCAGCAAUGAGAGAAGAAGCAUUCCUCAGUAUUCAGUCUAAUCAGAGACAAGUCCUCAGAAAUUACUCCCUGAACUGACACUCCAAGCUGUGCCCCAUAGUACCACCAGAUCUGCAGUUAGGAAACUCAGUGGCUUGGCUGUUCUGAACAAUUUUUUUUCCUAAGAUAACAUACAGAGAUGGAUUCCAGUUUUAUUCUUCAUUCUUUUACUCUGUCUUCCUGCAAAAGUUCAAAUGUGAACCGAAAACUUAAGGAUUACUUCUUGCCCUGAUAGGGAGCUGCCCUUGUCUCUUAUAAGCCUAUAAUCCUUAUUUUACAUACGUGUCUGUCUUCUUUCACAUUUGUUAUGAUUUUCGUUGUAUCCCUGCCUAAUUUUCAUUUUCAUACAUUUCAUACAACUAGUGCAGGAAUUUCCCAUGUCUUCUCUGUAUGGCAUUAUUUUUUCUUUACUCAUUAUACUGCGUGAUUAAGUUGUAAAGCAAAAUUUUUUAAUCUAUUUCCAUAAAACCUAAUGUUCGGGGCAAGCUCAUUAAAAUUUUGUGGUUUCCCAGAUGAUUCUUUGAGGUCUAAAAGACAAACAAACCCCGUCCUUUUAUCAGUAUAUCACCCAUAUUAGGUAUAUUUAUAAUAUCCCAGGUUUGAAGAUGUGGGGCAGACCAGUUAAAGACCAUGUCUAGAGGGAUUUUGCUUGCAUCUAUGUCACUGAUAUGCUAAGAAGCUUUUUACUGGGACAUGUGUUUGUUGUAAAACUUUGAUUUUAUAUAAACAAAUAUUUUGGAAAGGGCGCCAGGACGUCUUGCAUUUUGACUUGCUGAAAUCAGUAUCUUUCUGGUUAGUGUAGCAGAGUGAGUGCCUAUGUGUGAAAAUGUAUUUAUUACCAUACAUUAACAUAGAGAGAGCUUCUUUCUUCUUGCUUCUUAGCCUCUCAACAAGCCUGUUUUUUGGAAAGAGAAAUGCCAAUUCACAUUGUUUUGGGCUGAAUAGGUAGAAGCCAAG